rfam:Simkania negevensis Z main chromosome, complete genome
GGGGGUGUCGCAUAGUGGCAAUUGCAAUGGACUGUAAAUCCAUCGACUUCGGUCUCCGCCAGUUCGAGUCUGGCCGCCCCCA